AGGGUGCAGGUGAAUUAUGGGAAUUGUAGUGAGAGCUGAUAAUAGAGGGUGCAGGUGAAUUAUGGGAAUUGUAGUGAGAGCUGAUAAUAGUGGGUGCAGAUGAAUUAUGGGAGAUGUAGUGAGGGCUGAUAAUAGUGGCUGCAGGUGAAUUAUGGGAGUUGUUGUGAGGGCUGAUAAUAGUGGGUGCAGGUGAAUUAUGGGAGUUGUAGUGAGGGCUGAUAAUAGUGGGUACAGGUGAAUUAUGGGAGUUGUAGUGGGGGCUGAUAAUAGUGGGUGCAGGUGAAUUAUGGGAGUUGUAGUGAGGGCUGAUAAUAGUGGGUGCAGGUGAAUUAUGGGAGAUGUAGUGAGGGCUGAUAAUAGUGGGUGCAGGUGAAUUAUGGGAGUUGUAGUGAGGGUCUGAUAAUAGUGGGUGCAGGUGAAUUAUGGGAGUUGUAGUGAGGGCUGAUAAUAGUGAUUCCAGGUGAAUUAUGGGAGUUGUA